rnacentral:rRNA from 1 species
UACGUAGGGGGCAAGCGUUGUCCGGAAUUAUUGGGCGUAAAGAGCGCGUAGGCGGUCCGGUAAGUCGGUUGUGAAAGUCGGGGGCUCAACCCUCGGAUGCCGAUCGAUACUGUCGGGCUAGAGUCCGGAAGAGGCGAGUGGAAUUCCUGGUGUAGCGGUGAAAUGCGCAGAUAUCAGGAGGAACACCAAUGGCGAAGGCAGCUCGCUGGGACGGUACUGACGCUGAUGCGCGAAAGCGUGGGGACCAAACAGG